ensembl:lncRNA
GUAUUGAACACGUCACCAUUUUUCUCAGUAAAUAUAUUUCUGAAGGUGCUGUUAUGAAAUUUUCACCAGAUGUCAGUAACAACCCAAGCAAUCCAUAUAUACAAAGAAAACAAAACAAAUAAGUUCAGAGAUUAAGUUAAAUAUAAUAAAGUGAAUAAAGUGAAAUAAAGUGAAAUGACACAGGAAAAAAGUUUUGAACACAUGAAGAAAGGUAGGUGCAAAAAGGCAUGGAAAGCCAAGACACCACCUGAAAUCUAUCAGUAAUUAAAAAGCAAUACUGCCCCUUGUCAGUGGAUAUUAAUAUUAGCUGGUUCAGUCUCAAUUGAUGGUCUAUAAAAAGGUGUAGUACCAAUGUGUCACAGAAGAAACAUUUCAUGAUGGGUAAAACCGAAGAGCUCUCUCAAGACCUUCGCAACCUUACUGUUGCAAAACAUACGGAUGGCAUUGGUUACAGAGGCAUUUCUAUACUUCUGAAUGUUCCAGUGAGCACUGUUGGGGCCAUAAUCCGGACGUGGAAAGAACAUUAUUCACCAUAAACCGGUCAUAACCAGGGGCUCCUCACAAGAUUUCUGACAGAGGAGGGAAAAGUAUUAUCAGAAAAGUUGUCUAAGAGCCAAGGACCACUUCUGGAGCACUUCAGAAAGAUCUGGAAUUAGGAGAUACAAUUGUUUCAAAGAAAACAAUAAGUUAUGCACUCAUCCGCCAUGGCCUGCAUACAUGCUCACCAUGCAAGACUCCAUUGCUGAAGAAAAAGCAUGUUGAAGCUCAUUUAAAGUUUGCUGCACAACAUUUAUACAAGCCGGUGAAACACUGGGAAAAAAUAAUAAUAAACACAAUGUUUGUAGGUCAAAUGGCACUGCACGUCAUGGUGUGGCACUGGCAGAAUUCAUAUAAUUUAAGGCAGGAUGAAUGGAAAAAUGUACAAAGAUAUUCUUGAUAAAAAUCUACCAGGAUGAUGAAGGUGAAACAAGGGUGGACAUUUCAGCAAGACAAUGAUCCCAAACACAGCCAAGGAAACUCUCAAUUGGUUUCAGAGAAAGAAAGUAAAGCUUUUAGAAUGACCCAGCCAAUCACCUGACUUGAAUCCAAUAGAAAAUAUAUGGAAAGAACUACAGAUCAGAGUUCAUAGAAGAGGCCCACAGGACCUUCAAGAUUUGAAGACUGUGCUCAGCCUUAAAGACACUGUUGUGUCCUACAUGGAGCGUAAAGAUCUGGACAUUCCUCCUGAGGUGGACGAGUUCUUCCCUGAAGAGAUCCUGCUCUCACAGUACACAGACACAUGGAAGUUAUCUGUUCUUCUCAGACAAGAAAGAAACCAAAGAUAGAUCCUGUAUGACGUACUUCUGUUGUCUUACCCAGUCACUCUCAUAUCAGAGAAAACUUAGAAAUGAUUUACAGAUGACUUCAGUACAAACUUUUGAAGACAGUGCCUUUUGUGCACCUUAGGCACAAUAUGCAGUACAGCUGCUGCAUAUUUGCUCCCUUAUAUAAAGCACUUUAUACUGUAAUAUUAAGGUACAAUCUGUCAAAGUAAUCUCUCAGAUAAUUAGCAAGUACAAUACAACUUGUUACAAAGUAUAGAAAGUUCAAAACAAUCAUUAAGUGUAACUUUUUUGCUUUAACUAUUUUCUCUGUUUUGUUUGGAAGUUGCCAACAAUUGCUUAACCAUUCCUCCUUUAUUUGUUUACUUGUUACUUUAAGAUACAUACACACUCAUUUAAGAAUGUGAACUGUUGAUUGUUGAAAUAAACACUCCACAUCGUGAGCCCAGACCUGGACUUGCACUUGUCCAUGUCUUUGUUUUUGUCCAUGUUUUUGAUAGCGUGUUGUUUUUUGGUUAAUGUUUUUUUUUUUUUUAAACAUAGGUGUUCAAUAAAAAAAAACAUAUAUAUAUAUAUGUAUGUAUGUGUGUGUGUGUGUAUCUCCUUUACAGCUUAUCAGGGAUUUCUAACCUCAUUUUCCAUUGCAUUUUUUUUUCUGUGCUUUUACUAUACUAAAAACAAUGUUUCUGUGGUCAUCAUGCCGGAAAAAUGCUGUGAUGUUUACUUUUUCUGUGACUAACAUGGAUUUGAAUAAAAAGUUAUUAAACAUGUUUACCUCCUCUUCAUAGUUGGCAUGUUGUAUAACAAGCAUGUUUAAAGAUUUUG